CCGUUAAUAUCAUAGAAUUAGUCACUUGUAUGAGAUAUUUCUUAUUGGAAUGAAAUCCAUUACAUGCUGCCCAUGCAAUCAACUAUUCCAUUUUAAACAAAUAUUCUAUAAUAAAAUAAAUUCAAAUUUUGAAACUUUUAGCAUAUCGAGAUCUUUAUGAUUAUACUUGUGUCCUCCAAUACUACUUGCAUCCCAAUCUCUAAUAUUUAUAAUUCAAAUUUUUAUACCACUUAAAUCAUAAUCCCCAAUGAUCAUAAACCUAUGCUCUGAUACCACCUAUGUAAUACCCCACCCCUAA
rnacentral:lncRNA from 1 species